rnacentral:rRNA from 1 species
AACAGGAUUAGAUACCCUGGUAGUCCACGCCGUAAACGAUGUCGACUUGGAGGUUGUGCCCUUGAGGCGUGGCUUCCGGAGCUAACGCGUUAAGUCGACCGCCUGGGGAGUACGGCCGCAAGGUUAAAACUCAAAUGAAUUGACGGGGGCCCGCACAAGCGGUGGAGCAUGUGGUUUAAUUCGAUGCAACGCGAAGAACCUUACCUACUCUUGACAUCCAGAGAACUUAGCAGAGAUGCUUUGGUGCCUUCGGGAACUCUGAGACAGGUGCUGCAUGGCUGUCGUCAGCUCGUGUUGUGAAAUGUUGGGUUAAGUCCCGCAACGAGCGCAACCCUUAUCCUUUGUUGCCAGCGGUUAGGCCGGGAACUCAAAGGAGACUGCCAGUGAUAAACUGGAGGAAGGUGGGGAUGACGUCAAGUCAUCAUGGCCCUUACGAGUAGGGCUACACACGUGCUACAAUGGCGCAUACAAAGAGAAGCGACCUCGCGAGAGCAAGCGGACCUCAUAAAGUGCGUCGUAGUCCGGAUUGGAGUCUGCAACUCGACUCCAUGAAGUCGGAAUCGCUAGUAAUCGUGGAUCAGAAUGCCACGGUGAAUACGUUCCCGGGCCUUGUACACACCGCCCGUCACACCAUGGGAGUGGGCUGCAAAAGAAGUAGGUAGCUUAACCUUCGGGAGGGCGCUUACCACUUUGUGAUUCAUGACUGGGGUGAAGUCGUAACAAGGUAACC